AAAGGAAUUGACGGGGGCCCGCACAAGCAGUGGAGUAUGUGGUUUAAUUCGAAGCAACGCGAAGAACCUUACCAGGGCUUGACAUCCCUCUGACAGCACUAGAGAUAGUGCUUCUCUUCGGAGCAGAGGAGACAGGUGGUGCAUGGUUGUCGUCAGCUCGUGUCGUGAGAUGUUGGGUUAAGUCCCGCAACGAGCGCAACCCCUGUUGUUAGUUGCCAUCAUUAAGUUGGGCACUCUAACGAGACUGCCGGUGAUAAAUCGGAGGAAGGUGGGGACGACGUCAAAUCAUCAUGCCCCUUAUGUCCUGGGCUACACACGUACUACAAUGGCGAUAACAGAGGGAAGCAAGACCGCGAGGUGGAGCAAAACCCCAAAAGUCGCCCCAGUUCAGAUUGCAGGCUGCAACUCGCCUGCAUGAAGUCGGAAUUGCUAGUAAUGGCAGGUCAGCAUACUGCCGUGAAUACGUUCCCGGGCCUUGCACACACCGCCCGU
rnacentral:rRNA from 1 species